GACGAACGCUGGCGGCGUGCUUAACACAUGCAAGUCGAACGGAAAGGCCCUGCUUGCAGGGUACUCGAGUGGCGAACGGGUGAGUAACACGUGGGUGAUCUGCCCUGCACUUCGGGAUAAGCCUGGGAAACUGGGUCUAAUACCGGAUAGGAGCCAUUUUUAGUGUGAUGGUUGGAAAGUUUUUUCGGUGUAGGAUGAGCUCGCGGCCUAUCAGCUUGUUGGUGGGGUAAUGGCCUACCAAGGCGGCGCCGGGUAGCCGGCCUGAGAGGGUGGACGGCCACAUUGGGACUGGGAUACGGCCCAGACUCCUACGGGAGGCAGCAGUGGGGAAUAUUGCACAAUGGGCGCAAGCCUGAUGCAGCGACGCCGCGUGGGGGAUGACGGCCUUCGGGUUGUAAACUCCUUUCGCUAGGGACGAAGCUUUUUGUGACGGUACCUAGAUAAGAAGCACCGGCUAACUACGUG
rnacentral:rRNA from 1 species